rnacentral:rRNA from 1 species
ACGGGAACCUUCGGGUUCUAGUGGCGGACGGGUGAGUAACGCGUGAGAAUCUACCUUCUGGUCGGGGACAGCCACUGGAAACGGUGGCUAAUACCGGAUGAGCCUAAGGGUAAAAGAUUAAUUGCCAGAAGAAGAGCUCGCGUCUGAUUAGCUAGUUGGUGAGGUAAGAGCUCACCAAGGCAGCGAUCAGUAGCUGGUCUGAGAGGAUGACCAGCCACACUGGGACUGAGACACGGCCCAGACUCCUACGGGAGGCAGCAGUGGGGAAUUUUCCGCAAUGGGCGAAAGCCUGACGGAGCAAGACCGCGUGAGGGAAGAAGGCUUUUGGGUUGUAAACCUCUUUUAUCAGGGAAGAAAAAAAUGACGGUACCUGAAGAAUCAGCCUCGGCUAACUCCGUGCCAGCAGCCGCGGUAAUACGGAGGAGGCAAGCGUUAUCCGGAAUUAUUGGGCGUAAAGCGUCUGCAGGUGGCUUAUCAAGUCUGCUGUCAAAGAGUGGGGCUUAACCCCAUUAAGGCAGUGGAAACUGAGAAGCUAGAGUGCCGUAGGGGUAGAGGGAAUUCCCGGUGUAGCGGUGAAAUGCGUAGAGAUCGGGAAGAACAUCGGUGGCGAAAGCGCUCUACUGGACGGCAACUGACACUCAGGGACGAAAGCUAGGGGAGCGAAUGGGAUUAGAUACCCCAGUAGUCCUAGCCGUAAACGAUGGAUACUAGGUGUGGCU